rnacentral:ncRNA from 1 species
UAUAAAUUGUAAUAUAAAUGGUUUUUUAAAAUAAUAAAUUUAAUUAUGGUUUUAAAGUUAAUUUAAAGAUUUUUAUAUAUAUAAGUAUUAAAAGUAAUUUAAUAUAAAUUUAAGUAGUAUAUAAAUUUAAUAAAAUUAAAAAAAAUUAAAAUUAGGAAUUUUUAUAGUUUAGAUGUAUAAUUGUGCCAGCAAUCGUGGUUAAACAAUUUAAAUAAAUUAAUUUGAUUAAAUUGAAAUUAAAUAAAUAUUUAUAAUUAAAUUUUAAAUUAUUAGGUGAAAUUUAUUAAUUUGAUAUAAUUAUAUUUAGUAUAAAUUGAGUUUUUAAAGAAUUUACUUUAAAACUAGGAUUAGAUACCCUAUUAUUAAAUUUUAAAGGUGAAAUUUUAAUAGUAAAUGGUUAAUCAUUAAAUUUAAAUAAUUUGGCGGUAUUUUAAUUUUAUUAGAGGAAUUUGUUAAUUAAUUGAUAAUACUCGAUAAGUUAAACUUUAAUUUAGUUUUUAUAUUGUUGUUUAAAGAGUAUUUUUGGAAAAAUUAUUUAAGAUAUUAUUUUAAGAAAUAAAUUCAGAUCAAAAUGAAGUGUAUGUUAAAGAGUUAAUGAGUUACAAUAAAUUAAAUUUAUGUGGAUUAAUAAUUUAAAAAUUAUAAUGAAGGUGGAUUUAAAAGUAAAAUAAAAAAAAUUAUUUUAUUUGAUUUAAAUUUUAAAGUAUGUACAAAUUGCCCGUCGUUCUCUUUGAAAAAGGAGGUAAGUCGUAACAAAGUAAAAGUACUGGAAAGUGUUUUUGGAAU